rnacentral:tRNA from 1 species
ACACUCUUAACUUAAUAGGUAAAGUUAUAAUCUUCGAAAUUAUAAAUAUAGGUUCAAUUCCUAUAGAGUGUU